rnacentral:rRNA from 1 species
AUUGAACGCUGGCGGCGGGCCUAACACAUGCAAGUCGAACGAGUGGCGGACGGGUGAGUAAUGUCUGGGAAACUGCCCGAUGGAGGGGGAUAACUACUGGAAACGGUAGCUAAUACCGCAUACCAUCGGAUGUUCCCAGAUGGGAUUAGCUGGUAGGUGAGGUAACGGCUCACCUAGGCGACGAUCCCUAGCUGGUCUGAGAGGAUGACCAGCCACACUGGACCGACGACACGGCCCAGACUCCUACGGGAGUAAGCAGUGGGGAAUAUUGCACAAUGGGCGCAAGCCUGAUGCAGCCAUGCCGCGUGUGUGCAGAAGGCCUUCGGGUUGUAAAGUCCUUUCAGCGGGGAGGCGUUACCCGCAGAAGAAGCAACGGCUAACUACGUGCCAGCCGCCGCGGUAAUAC